rnacentral:rRNA from 1 species
GGCUGAAAUUCGCCUUCAUGAAGCUGGAAUUGCUGUAAUGGCAGGUCAGCAUACUGCCGUGAAUACGUUCCCGGGCCUUGUACACACCGCCCGUCACACCAUGAGAGUUGGAAAUACCCGAAGCCUGUGAGCUAACAGUAAUGAGGCAGCAGUCGAAGGUAGAGCCAAUGAUUGGGGUGAAGUCGUAACAAGGUAGC